AAUCAGGUUUUAUUCAAGACCAUCAUUAUUAUAUAAGUAGUGUUAU
rfam:Heterocephalus glaber contig108144, whole genome shotgun sequence.